rnacentral:rRNA from 1 species
GAUGAACGCUGGCGGCGUGCCUAAUACAUGCAAGUCGAGCGAACAGACGAGGAGCUUGCUCCUCUGACGUUAGCGGCGGACGGGUGAGUAACACGUGGAUAACCUACCUAUAAGACUGGGAUAACUUCGGGAAACCGGAGCUAAUACCGGAUAAUAUAUUGAACCGCAUGGUUCAAUAGUGAAAGACGGUUUUGCUGUCACUUAUAGAUGGAUCCGCGCCGCAUUAGCUAGUUGGUAAGGUAACGGCUUACCAAGGCAACGAUGCGUAGCCGACCUGAGAGGGUGAUCGGCCACACUGGAACUGAGACACGGACCAGACUCCUACGGGAGGCAGCAGUAGGGAAUCUUCCGCAAUGGGCGAAAGCCUGACGGAGCAACGCCGCGUGAGUGAUGAAGGUCUUCGGAUCGUAAAACUCUGUUAUUAGGGAAGAACACAUGUGUAAGUAACUAUGCACGUCUUGACGGUACCUAAACAGAAAGCCACGGCUAACUACGUG